GAUGAACGCUGACAGAAUGCUUAACACAUGCAAGUCUACUUGAACUUCGGUUUGGGUGGCGGACGGGUGAGUAACGCGUAAAGAACUUGCCUCACAGUUAGGGACAACAUUUGGAAACGAAUGCUAAUACCUGAUAUUAUGAUUUUAGGGCAUCCUAAGAUUAUGAAAGCUAUAUGCGCUGUGAAAAAGCUUUGCGUCCCAUUAGCUAGUUGGAGAGGUAACGGCUCACCAAGGCGAUGAUGGGUAGCCGGCCUGAGAGGGUGAACGGCCACAAGGGGACUGAGACACGGCCCUUACUCCUACUGGAGGCAGCAGUGGGGAAUAUUGGACAAUGGACCAAAAGUCUGAUCCACCAAUUCGGUGUGCACGAUGACUUUUUUCGAAUGUAAAGUGCUUUCAGUGGGAAGAAAAAAAAUGACGGUGCCAACAAAAGAAGUGACGCUAAAUACUUGCCAUCAGUCGCGGGAAUACGUAUGUCACAGCUGUAUCUGGAUUUGUGUGCUGAAAGCGCGUCUUGUUGUAGUGUAAGCUGUGGUGAAAAUGCAGGGUCGACUCUGUCGCGAUGUGAAUGUUUGACUAUGGGCUGAUCAUGUAUCGGUGUCUCCUGUGUAUGUGUGAGAUGUGAUGUGUGCGGAAUGCCCGUCCGCAGCGUCCACUGACAAUUGUAUGUUGUAGUGUAUGAUGUGGUGCUGUGUGAUUGAUGCUGCGUGUCUGUGUGAUCUCUGGUCGUGGCUGUGGUGUCCUGUGUGUGCCUGCUGCUGUCAGAAAAAUAGUGAUGUAUAAUUGUUGAUAGGUAGUUGUAUAUGUAGUGUGGUUAGGUGUUGUGCUGUGUGUGAAUGUCUGAUCCUGUGUGGCUAGGUGUAUGUAGUUGAUCGA
rnacentral:rRNA from 1 species